AAAAAUCCGAAAAUUCAUAAAAAUUUGAAAAAUUGUUUUUGAAAAUCCAAAAAAAGAGUUGUUUUUGUGCGCUUAUUUGUGUCUUAGGGUACCUUCCAACACAAUGAUGAGGAUUCGGUUUGUAAUUGCAUGACUGUUAAAGAGAGUUAUAAACAUGGAUGAAAGUUUGAUUUACUCUUUAUUUAUGCGUGGUUGUGGUUAUAACUUAUGAAAUCACAUGUAAUCAUAAAAGAAAAAAAUUAGUUUUUGUAACAUGCUUGAAGGAAAGAACUCAAACUAACGCUACAACCUUGUGAGACUUGAGCUUAAACGUUUAUUUGGAGAGUUAAAAUCUGUGCAUUCUUGUUUUCUAAAGUCAUUGCAUGAUCUCAUUAUUCUUUGCUUGGCUAUUACUUAGAAGGCGUUUCAUCAUUUAGUUCCAAAUGCUAGAACUCAUGCCUAUUUCAUUCAAAGCAUGCUAUUGAUUUGCAUAAAACAUAUUCAAGAUGAAGUUGUGUAGUUACCACCACCAAAGCCAAACUGCCAUGUAUCCCAUAUCGUUAUAUGUUUAAGUUAACCCCAUUGAGCCUUGAUAGCCUACAUUCUUUGUUAAACCACAUUAUCCUUACCUAGCCUAGUUUAGGAUCAUCCAUACCCUUGUUCUUGAAGCAUAGUAAAACAUGAUUCAAAUUGAAUUUCUUUUGAUUAAUGUAUGGCAGAAAACAAGUGUGGGGGAAGUGUGAGUUAUUAUGCUUGUUGAAAAGAAAAGAAGAGUUGAGAAAAAAAAAAAAAAAAAAAAAAAAAAAAAAAAAAAAGUUUUAAAGUGCUGCUUGUUGAAGAAAGAGUCCAAAACAUAGAAUUCGGCCCUAAUUAUUGCCUGAAUUUUCCCUUCGUGUCUAAAAGCUGAUUUCUGCAAUCUAAGUGAAUUCUAAGUUUCAAUUUCAUUACUUUACUUGCUAUUGCUUUAAGAACG
rnacentral:lncRNA from 1 species